AAGCAGUGAUAAUGACACUUUCGUAAUAACUCCUUAAACCGCUCUCAUGCCUCAUAUAAAGAUUCUUCGUCAAGUUGUUGAAAUGAAAUGAUUUCAUUUCAAAUCUU
rfam:Gossypium hirsutum cultivar TM-1 chromosome 8, whole genome shotgun sequence